GACGAACGCUGGCGGCGUGCCUAACACAUGCAAGUCAACGAGAAAGGGGUAGCAAUGUCCUGAGUAAAGUGGCGCACGGGUGAGUAACACGUAGGUAAUCUGCCAUUAGGACGGGGACAACCACGCGAAAGCGUAGCUAAUACCCGAUGAAUCAGCGAUGCCGCAUGGCAUUGUUGUUAAAUACCGCAAGGUGCCUAAUGAUGAACCUGCGUCCCAUUAGGUAGNGGUGAGGUAACGGCUCACCAAGCCGACGAUGGGUAGCUGGUCUGAGAGGAUGAUCAGCCACACUGGAACUGAGACACGGUCCAGACUCCUACGGGAGGCAGCAGUGAAGGAAUAUUGCGCAAUGGCCGAAAGGCUGACGCAGCGACGCCGCGUGAAGGAUGAAGUCCGUUAGGAUGUAAACUUCUUUUG
rnacentral:rRNA from 1 species